GAAGGGAAUUGUAGACUGUAAGUCUCUCAAAGAAAAGGGCACCUGUGGGAUGAGGGUGGGGACUGUCAUCCUUGUGAAGCCCUACAUCGUUGGGUACUUUCUCUUUAGGAAAGUCCAAGUUAACUACAGCUUUAAUUCUGAAUUUCCCUGAUUCUCUCCUAAAAUUAGCAUAAAAACUGCAGUCUGGUUUAUUAAUUUUGUGGGAGCUUAAGGCAAGAAAGAUGAGUGUGGCUUUGAUCUGUCCCCUUGUCUCCCAGGAGAGAGAAGGGGUAUUAGCUUUGAGUACCCAUUCUGAGUGAAACCAGUAGCUGAAAAGUGACCCAAGAUCCUGGAGGAUUGUUCCAGAGAGGAGGACAAGAGAAGAACGAUCACUUUCUGUUUACCCUCAUGUGUUAGUGAAGGUUGUUCUUUGAAGAGAAAGGAUUCCAGCAAAAUUCUAGAUAAAGUAGGGGUGGCAAGAUGAUCUAUAACUGAAUGAACUCACUGGAAGCAGAAACUCAGAACCAGAGGUGACUGUGACUCUGAAAGAUGAUUUCAAUUAUUGUGUAUUUAUGUCUUUAACUGUGUAAUCGAAGUGUAUUCUACAUAUAGGAAAGUAUACAAAUUAUAAAUGUAUACCUUGAUGAAUUAUCUGUUUAUUCAUUUUUAAUGUGUACUGAGAGAAAUGUAACUGGCACA
rnacentral:lncRNA from 1 species